UGCUUACUCCCUCCGUUUAGAAAUACUUGUCCUAAAAAUAAAUAAAAUGAAUGUAUCUAUAACUAAAAUAAGUCUAGAUACAUCUAUUUUUAGGACAAGUAUUUUCAAACGGAGGGAGU
rnacentral:pre_miRNA from 1 species